UCAGCAGAGUCUUGCGCGUGUUCUGUUGUUAGUGUGUUAUUUUCCAGGCCCAUCUUCCUUUCUGCUGAUGAUUGUUAGGCAGCAGCUGUGUCCUUGGGAAGCUCGGGAAAGGGCACUUCAGGAGCCUGAGGCUGGUUUUCCUGGUAGGAUGGAGCUGGAUCUGGGGACGUUUAUAAGAGCAUGAGGGGAAAACCCAAACUUCUAGUGCCCUGCUUGCCACCCUGCUAGGUAUUACACAGAAAAGGAGAGUCCAGGCCUCUGCCACUGGGACAGGCUCGAGCUGGGGUCAGAGUUCCAUCUCCUUCCAGGGCUCGGCAGGCUGCAUGGUGUUUCCAGUGCGGGGACUCAUGAGGGGAAGGGACGGGAAGAAGAGUGCGGAGGGCGUCUAACAUCGGGAUUAUGCCACCUCCGGCCCCAGGACGUGUGUGAGCAAAUUUCUGUCCCCACAGCCACUUCUGGUUUCCUGGGAAGUUGAAGAACUCAGUGGGGGUCACACCUGGAGACAGGACAUGGUCAGGGUGACAGCUCCUGCAGUCCUUGGCCAUGGCUCUGUAAAGGUGGCCAUCAGGGGAGCGUGCAGUCUCCGAGAAAUGACCAGUCCUCCAGUAGGCAGGGGUCCCAUCGUGCCUUGGCUCCGCCAGCAUCCUAGCAGCAGGUGGGCAGCAGGAGCAGUCAGGAAUGACCAGACGCUGGAGGACAGCCUCUAGCUGGAGAGCUGUAGUCUAAAACAACAAGCAGAACAGCCGCAGGCAGCCAGGCUGUGCAGAGGGAAGAGCCUCCAAACGACCCCGUUAACACCCUCAAGGGUAACAAGGGACGCGACAGCUCCCAUGAGUCCAGGACCAGAUGCCCCGAGAAAGAGCAUCCCAGUAACACAAAGGGGUGCUAGGAGGAUCAGAAUACAACAGCCUGGGUAAAAACCCUAAGGGAAGGGCUAAAGGACGUCUCCCAGAAAAAGAACAGAAAAACCAAGAGAUGAAAAACAGGAAAGAUGAAAACGUCAGCAGGCUGGGGCAGGCGUCCAGUGUGCAAAACGUGGUGGCUUCAAGCAGGCGAGCAGAGGGAACCGAGGGAAGCAGCUGUGGGUAAACUUGCGACGUUAGCGGAACGGGGGGCCACAGAGCACCCAGCACUGGGAACGAAAGUGGCCGCACCGACCGAGGCGACCACGUGGACACAGUUCAGAACUCAGGGACAGGGAUGGCCCAGAGCCCCACCUGGCAUCUCAGCGGAACACCCCAGAGACAUCAGACCCCAGUGUGGCCCCACAGAAGCUCAGAAGCUGACAGUACCCCCAGCUCUGCUGUGACCACCCAGACCAGGAGGGCCUUGUUCUCACCUGGAUUCCUAAGAGGCCCAACACAGUGGCUGGUGCCGCCCCAUCAAAGCUGAGUCGGAUCCUGCUCAGAACCCACCGGGGGCCCUGCCGAAGCCCUGGCUGUGGCCACCCGGCCCAUGAGUCCCGCCCUCUUCCCCCCCAGCCUUCUUUCCUGCCACUCCGGGAAUCCUGGCCUGGCAGGCAGGGGCAGGCCACGCCCAGGAAGAGAGCGGACAGAGAGUCCCGUGUGUUUACCAUGUUGAGAGGAGACCUGAAAGGUGAAAGCAGAGUUAGGGAUAGAUGGCAAAUACUUAAAAACUAAUCAAGAAAAAAUAAGGCAGAGACCAAAUGCUGGGAACACAGGAGAAAGUUUGCCAGCGAGGGCCACGUGAUCAUGCUUCUCUAGGAGGCUCAGUUUCCCGUAACAUUUACAAAGUGCUAGAACAUCAGCAUCUGUAGUGUAGCCAUCAGCACGCAGAUGUGCCACUGAUCGAACUGAGUUUACCGUGGACUAUGGGAGGGACGUGGGUGGAAGGUGUGGGGUGUGGCCUGGGCGGGCCUGGCAGGAGGCCACGCAGACCUCCAGGGAUCCCCAUGGGGUAAACACCAGGAUUCGGAAUGAAGGUGCACCUCUGGUGAGCAGGAAGGGGAGGGUAGUUCUUUAAACUGUGUG